rnacentral:rRNA from 1 species
AUCCUGGCUCAGGACGAACGCUGGCGGCGUGCUUAACACAUGCAAGUCGAACGAUGAUGCCCAGCUUGCUGGGCGGAUUAGUGGCGAACGGGUGAGUAAUACGUGAGUAACCUGCCCUUGACUCUGGGAUAAGCCUGGGAAACUGGGUCUAAUACUGGAUACUACCUCUUACCGCAUGGUGGGUGGUGGAAAGGGUUUUACUGGUUUUGGAUGGGCUCACGGCCUAUCAGCUUGUUGGUGGGGUAAUGGCUCACCAAGCCGACGACGGGUAGCCGGCCUGAGAGGGUGACCGGCCACACUGGGACUGAGACACGGCCCAGACUCCUACGGGAGGCAGCAGUGGGGAAUAUUGCACAAUGGGCGGAAGCCUGAUGCAGCGACGCCGCGUGAGAGGAUGACGGCCUUCGGGUUGUAAACCUCUUUCAGUAGGGAAGAAGCGAGAGUGACGGUACCUGCAGAAGAAGCGCCGGGCUAACUACGUGCCAGCAGCCGCGGUAAUACGUAGGGCGCAAGCGUUGUCCGGAAUUAUUGGGCGUAAAGAGCUCGUAGGCGGUUUGUCGCGUCUGCUGUGAAAGCCCGGGGCUCAACCCCGGGUCUGCAGUGGGUACGGGCAGACUAGAGUGCAGUAGGGGAGACUGGAAUUCCUGGUGUAGCGGUGAAAUGCGCAGAUAUCAGGAGGAACACCGAUGGCGAAGGCAGGUCUCUGGGCUGUUACUGACGCUGAGGAGCGAAAGCAUGGGGAGCGAACAGGAUUAGAUACCCUGGUAGUCCAUGCCGUAAACGUUGGGCACUAGGUGUGGGGGACAUUCCACGUUUUCCGCGCCGUAGCUAACGCAUUAAGUGCCCCGCCUGGGGAGUACGGCCGCAAGGCUAAAACUCAAAGGAAUUGACGGGGGCCCGCACAAGCGGCGGAGCAUGCGGAUUAAUUCGAUGCAACGCGAAGAACCUUACCAAGGCUUGACAUUCACCGGACCGCCCCAGAGAUGGGGUUUCCCUUCGGGGCUGGUGGACAGGUGGUGCAUGGUUGUCGUCAGCUCGUGUCGUGAGAUGUUGGGUUAAGUCCCGCAACGAGCGCAACCCUCGUUCUAUGUUGCCAGCACGUGAUGGUGGGGACUCAUAGGAGACUGCCGGGGUCAACUCGGAGGAAGGUGGGGAUGACGUCAAAUCAUCAUGCCCCUUAUGUCUUGGGCUUCACGCAUGCUACAAUGGCCGGUACAAAGGGUUGCGAUACUGUGAGGUGGAGCUAAUCCCAAAAAGCCGGUCUCAGUUCGGAUUGAGGUCUGCAACUCGACCUCAUGAAGUCGGAGUCGCUAGUAAUCGCAGAUCAGCAACGCUGCGGUGAAUACGUUCCCGGGCCUUGUACACACCGCCCGUCAAGUCACGAAAGUUGGUAACACCCGAAGCCGGUGGCCUAACCCCUUGUGGGAGGAGCCGUCGAAGGUGGACCUGAAUUUCCU